UACGUACGAGGCGAGCGUUAUCCGGAAUUACUGGGCGUAAAGCGCGCGCAGGUGGUUCGUUAAGUAGGGCGUGAAAUCUCCCGGCCUAACUGGGAGGGGUCGCCCCAGACUGGCGGACUUGAGGCUGGCAGAGGUAGGUGGAAUUCCUGGUGUAGUGGUGAAAUGCGUAGAGAUCAGGAGGAACACCGGUGGCGAAGGCGGCCUACUGGGCCAGCACUGACGCUGAGGCGCGAAAGCUCGGGGAGCGAACGGG
rnacentral:rRNA from 1 species